rnacentral:tRNA from 1 species
GGGGCUGUAGCUCAGUGGUAGAGCGUCCACCUUGCACGUGUGAGGCUCUGGGUUUGAUCCUCAGCACCA